GAUCCAGCAAGAUGGCUGCCAGCGGAGGUGUUGCAGAACAUAAUGCAGUCCAAUGUUUACUGCAUCAUCCACGGACAUGUUUGCUCUGUAAGCAAACUGCAGGGGGUCCAGUAAGGGUCCAGUGAUGUCCUUCAGGAGUGCUCUGUUGUGUUACCGGACCCCUCUCUCUGUGGGGAACACCUUCAGCAAAGCCUCCAUACGGUUUUCUUCAUUUGACCUGCCACUGAUGGAUCAUCUGUUCACCUUCAACAGGCGACAUGGAAAUAUGGUGGAGACGCUCUCACGGUGAAGCAAGACACAAGCGUAUGAAAACGGUGAUGACAGCUGGUGUUUAAAAUCCUGUCUAGUAGAUGCUAGAGGAAAGACUCCACCCUCUUCUGCGUUUGGGGUGCAACACUAGAGACUGGAUCAAUGAAGUCAGAUGGUGGAUCUUCAUGUACAUCUUCUCUAGUGUUUCCAGAACUACCCUUUCUACAGCUGCGAUACAGAAAUGAUGCAUUUAGCAGCUUAUUUAAACCGAUAAAUACCAUGCGUGCACAUUGAUUUAGUAUGGAACUCAAGACUGGAUUUUCCUCUCACUCCAGAGAGGUACCUUAUUUUAAAGAGGCACACUGGAGCUCAAAGGAGCUCACACUGGAGUUGGUGGAUGAGCCUCCAGCCGUCUCUGUGAUGGUCUGCCGGAGACACUGGAGCAGUGAAAGAUGGAGUGACUAAGAUUUGCUUCUUACCAAGGUUGAUCCACACACCAGCCGUCUCCAGGAGGCUCUUCCUGAGACAUGCGCACUGGAGUGGAGAAAGCUGGAGGAGGGCUGUUCAUGACGAGAGAAAAUCAAGAGAUGUUGUGGCAACCUGGACAGAAUUCAGCUCCAGAUCCACCCUCAACACUCACAAGGAUUGCUGUCUACUUAGGCUAGUGACAAUGCCCCUGAAUUUUUGAGAUACCCCUACCGGAGGUAGAACUAAACCCAACAAUGUUUUUCCUCAUCUCUAAGGUCUCCCAUUUAUGAAAUGGAUUCUUGGCUAAAAAUAUUUUACUGCUAAGAUUGUUAAAUUAACAGAUAUUGUUAUACACCCCAAAACCAAAAAAGGACAAGCAGAAGUAGCCCAAUAAUUGUAAAAAAGGAGAC
ensembl:lncRNA